ACGGCCCAGACUCCUACGGGAGGCAGCAGUCGGGAAUAUUGCGCAAUGGAGGAAACUCUGACGCAGUGACGCCGCGUGCAGGAAGAAGGUUUUCGGAUUGUAAACUGCUUUUAACAGGAAAGAAAAAAAUGACGGUACCUGUUGAAUAAGCUCCGGCUAACUACGUGCCAGCAGCCGCGGUAAUACGUAGGGAGCGAGCGUUAUCCGGAUUUAUUGGGUGUAAAGGGUGCGUAGACGGAAAUGCAAGUUAGUUGUGAAAUACCUCGGCUUAACUGAGGAACUGCAACUAAAACUAUAUUUCUUGAGUAUCGGAGGGGUUUGUGGAAUUCCUAGUGUAGCGGUGAAAUGCGUAGAUAUUAGGAAGAACACCGGUGGCGAAGGCGACAAACUGGACGAUAACUGACGUUGAGGCACGAAAGUGUGGGGAGCAAACAGGAUUAGAUACCCUGGUAGUCCACACCGUAAACGAUGGAUACUAGGUGUUGGCAAUGAAUAAUUGUCGGUGCCGGCGCUAACGCAAUAAGUAUCCCACCUGGGGAGUACGACCGCAAGGUUGAAACUCAAAGGAAUUGACGGGGGCCCGCACAAGCAGUGGAGUAUGUGGUUUAAUUCGAAGAUACGCGAAGAACCUUACCAAGGCUUGACAUACAGAGGAAUAAGUAGGAAACUAUUUAGCUCUUCGGAGUCUCUGUACAGGUGGUGCAUGGUUGUCGUCAGCUCGUGUCGUGAGAUGUUAGGUUAAGUCCUGCAACGAGCGCAACCCCUAUUUCUAGUUGCCAGCACGUAAUGGUGGGAACUCUAGAAAGACUGCCGGUGAUAAAUCGGAGGAAGGUGGGGACGACGUCAAAUCAUCAUGCCCUUUAUGUCUUGGGCAACACACGUACUACAAUGGCCGUUACAGAGAGAAGCAAUACAGUGAUGUGGAGCAAAACUCAAAAAGCGGUCUCAGUUCGGACUGUAGGCUGAAAUUCGCCUACACGAAGUCGGAAUUGCUAGUAAUGGCAGGUCAGAAUACUGCCGUGAAUACGUUCCCGGGCCUUGUACACACCGCCCGUCACACCAUGAG
rnacentral:rRNA from 1 species